rnacentral:rRNA from 1 species
GACGAACGCUGGCGGCGUGGAUUAGGCAUGCAAGUCGAACGGUAGGAUACCUUCGGGUAUCUGAGAGUGGCGAACGGGUGAGUAACACGUAGGUGAUCUACCCUCAAGAUUGGGACAACCCAGGGAAACUUGGGCUAAUACCGGAUGAAAGCAGCAGUGAUGUUGUUUGAAAGGUGGCGUAAGCUGCCGUUUGGGGAUGAGCCUGCGCUCUAUUAGUUAGUUGGCGGGGUAAAGGCCCACCAAGGCGAUGAUAGAUAGGCGGCCUUAACGGGUGGUCGCCCACACUGGGAUUGAGAUACGGCCCAGACUCCUACGGGAGGCAGCAGUCGAGAAUAGUCUACAAUGGCCGAAAGGCUGAUAGUGCGACGCCGCGUGAACGAAGAAGCCCUUCGGGUGUAAAGUUCUUUUAUAUGUGAGCAGUGCUUUCUAUGUGAACAGCAUGGGGAGAGAGAUAUUAGCAUAUGAAUAAGCAACGGCUAACUCCGUGCCAGCC